AGAGGGGACUGGUUCCUGGGCCAUCUCAACUUAGCAUCCUCCACUGACUCUUGUGGGGCUCUGCCAGAACCAGGUAGGGCAGUGCCUGGCUGGGUCAGCCACUGAGCUGAGGAGGGAAGAAGAAAGGUAGAAUAAAGACCCUGCCAGUGAUCAAUGUGCAAAUUCGGGAAAAAGUUGAAAACUACAGGGGUGAACUGCCAGGGUAGAGAACCUGUUACGUCUGUUUGGACCUGCCAGGACCAUUCCCAGCCCUGCCCCAUCUGGUGUGCGAUCACCACGUCCGUUUAACUGAGCUCACCCACCAAGAGAGGGAGCUGCACUUAAAACUGUGUUUGUGCUUUAGCCUGAGACACGGACCCUUCCUAAACAUUGCCUGGGAAUCGCGGGGCAGAGGGGCUCAAGAGUUCUUUGAAGAAGCUGGAUAAGAGAACAUAAAAAUGGAUCGAGCAGCCUGUAUCUGUCCUCCUCUAAUCACUACACCAGAAGGAUAAAGUGAUGAACUUGGCUCUUUGGCAGAAUUAAAAAUUGUGCAGUGGUGCUGAUGUGGAUUCCUGAGGCUCUGGGACAGGACAACAAAUCACACAGGAGUCUGGCAUACAUGUCACCUUUGGGGGUAAAAAAAUGUCUGUCUUGGUUGUGUGAAAUGACAGCCUUGUCCAACAUAAGCCUGAGCAGCUGCAAAGAUCAGCCUGAAGGCCUGGAGGAGAUGGCCUGCCAUAUGGGGUUCCCAAAGCUCUUCCUGUACCUAUUCACUGCAGCAGCAGCAAUGCACAAAAUGCUGAUGGGAAGAGUAAGCACUAAUUGCUUCUGAACUUCACUGUUUUAUGGCCAAAAGUUUACUUUCCAUUUCCAGUAAGGUCAUCAUUCAGUGAUCCUUCAUAAUGUUUUUUAAAAAAAUGCUUUUAUAAAACCAGCCUUUAUUGUCUUUAAAUGUAAUGUGGGGGGAAAAGCCGGAGCAUAAGAGGUCCCUUCCAU